rnacentral:rRNA from 1 species
AGGGCACCACCAGGAGUGGAGCCUGCGGCUUAAUUUGACUCAACACGGGAAAUCUCACCAGGCCCGGACACCGGAAGGAUUGACAGAUUGAGAGCUCUUUCUUGAUUCGGUGGGUGGUGGUGCAUGGCCGUUCUUAGUUGGUGGAGCGAUUUGUCUGGUUAAUUCCGAUAACGAACGAGACUCUGGCCUACUAACUAGAUGGAGGAUCCCUUCGUGGGUUCUUCACUGCUUCUUAGAGGGACGGGCGGCGUGUAGCCGCACGAGAUUGAGCAAUAACAGGUCUGUGAUGCCCUUAGAUGUUCUGGGCUGCACGCGCGCUACACUGAAGGAAUCAGCGUGUCCUCCCCGCUCUGAAAAGGGUGGGUAACCCGUUGAAACUCCUUCGUGAUGGGGAUUGGAGAUUGUAAUUAUUCUCCAUGAACGAGGAAUUCCCAGUAGGCGCGAGUCAUCAGCUUGCGUCGAUUACGUCCCUGCCCUUUGUACACGCCGCCCGUCGCUACUACCGAUCGAGUGAUUUAG